AACGAACGCUGGCGGCGUGCCUAACACAUGCAAGUCGAGCGAGAAAGCCCGCAAGGGUGAGUACAGCGGCGCACGGGUGCGUAACACGUGGGUAAUCUGCCCUGAAGCCCGGAAUAACCUCCCGAAAGGGAAGCUAAUACCGGAUAAGACCACGGGGACUUCGGUUCCUGGGGGAAAAGGUGGCCUCUGUACACAAGCUAUCACUUCUGGAUGAGCCCGCGGCCCAUCAGCUAGUUGGCGGGGUAAUGGCCCACCAAGGCUACGACGGGUAGCUGGUCUGAGAGGACGAUCAGCCACACUGGAACUGAGACACGGUCCAGACUCCUACGGGUGGCAG
rnacentral:rRNA from 1 species